AUGCUAAGCAUGAACAUUGUUCUACUCACGGGAAGAACUCUCAGAGAUCCAGGCAGCGUCCAGAUUGCUGUUAUCAUCCUCCAUCAACAAAACCAUGGGGUCCUUGUGGGAGCUGCAUACAAAGUUACAAACCCGUGUGGAUGUAUUUGGUUGGUAGCUGCAACAGCCUGCCAAUCGGAUAAGAGAAGCCAAGGGGCCAUCAGCGAUGGUGUAGCUUCAGCAUCCUGUCAAUUGGAGGAGAGGCCAAGGAGUCAUCGGCAAGAAGCAACCUUAUCCUGGAACUUGAAGUGGAGUAAUGGUUAA
rnacentral:rRNA from 1 species